CGCGGCCCCUCGCCGAGCGCCGCCGGGCAGCUCCCUGCGGGCCCCCAGCUGGGAGCUGUCAUUGAACCGUCACUAAGGCUGGGAAAGACCUCUAAGGUCACCUAGGCCAACUGUCAACCCAUCACCACCACGUCCACAAGUUCUUCUACGCUUCUAGGGAUGGUGAUAUUAGAGAGGGAUGAGUUUUCCCCUGAGCCUUCUCUUCUCCAGACUGCGCAAUCCCGGUUCCCUCAGCCGUUCCUCAUAAGAUUUAUGCUCCAGACCCCACACCAGCUUUGCUGCCCUUCUCUGGACACUCUCCAGUGACUUGAUGUCUUCCUUGAAGUGAAGGACCCCAAACUGAACACAGUACUUGAGGUGCAGCUUCAUCAGUUCCAAGCAAUUACCCACUCAAAUGGCAGCAACAGAAAAUACCAGAGAUCUUAAAAAACACACUAAGCUAAGAGAUUAUUUGGUGAGAGGAGGAGUGGAUGGGCCGUACCCUGAGGAAAUCAGCCCAGAGGUCAGCUGCUGGCACAACUGGAGGGAGAGGAGCUCUGUAGCCUGGCGUGUCCCAGGAUCACCCUGUGGAUAUGCAAGAGGCUGAAGCAGACACCUGACAAGGGCACAAAGUCCUUCCUAGGGCCUGAAAAGAACCCAGCUGAUGGACUGAAGGAUAAGAUUUGUAUAUGUAUGUUGACUUAAACUGUGAAUCUGCAAGCUUUGUGCAUGGAAACAGCAACUGGACAGGGAGUGGCGCUAGCUCAGAACCUGGAGCAGUACUGCUGUGAGCUGUGGUACUGAGACAUAGCCCAGCUGAGGUGCAAGCCAUAUUCACUCCCCUGAUUGUCUCAGUUUGUGCUAGCAGCCAGCAGCUCUGUGUGGUGGACAUGCAGCCUGGGGCUCCUUAUCUCCACAGCACAGCACUACAACCACUGCCAUGUGGACCAAAUCUCUUAAACACAGGCACACAGAUACAAAAGUGAGCCAUUUCAGAGCCAGUUCUGAAAUGCUACUUUAUCAAUCGCAACAGAUUUCAAGAAUUUGAGUCUACCUCCUUUAGCAUGGGGAAAAGCAUCUCAUUGUUUAAACACUCAGGUCUCAGUCUACAGAUAAAGUUAGCAGAUGUGCCACUCAGGAUCUCAGUCUCUCCUCGUCCUCACCAAAGCACACAAGCAGAUGUUCAGCCUUCAGCUUCAUACCGUGCAGGCAACGAGUACUGCAGCAAAUGACACUAUAUAUGUGCUGCUAAGACCACAGUAAGUACCAGAGUUAUGUGUAUACACAGGCACUUUUCACAAUCAAGUAGUCAUUAAUUGGGAAUCCUGUAGUUAGAAAACCUAGACAGUGGAAUUUACACGCAGGACUAAAUGACCUAAUUCAAAACCUUUUGCCAACUUUGCGCUUGAGGUGAAAGUGAAGAAACAACGUAGCAGGUAAAAAUGUGGUUAAUAUGAGCCUAGCUUUCAUCUUAAUGUAGCACUUGUAAGUUACUUCCAACUGGGUAGCUUUUGAAAACAUUUUCCAUAUUUACUAAUUCUGGGUGUCCCUGUUACCUAGCUAAUAUAUAUAUAUAUAUGCCCACAGCUUUCACUUCUUUCUUCAGACCUUCCCAGCUUCUUUGCUUUCACAAUGCAGUGUUGAAAUGGAUACAACAAAUUAAAAUGUAUUAUGAGAAAAGUGUUUUUGUCUGAACUGAAUUUGCCAGCUUGGGACUUCACUAAUGGCUUUCUGAUCUUAAAUUAUGGCACAGAGGAACUCAUUACUUCAUCUGAAUUCUUAACAUUAAUUGUGAUUUUUUGAAAUAUUAUUAGUUAGCCAUUUAUCUCUGAAGGUUUUUCCAC
ensembl:lncRNA